rnacentral:rRNA from 1 species
UACGUAGGUGACAAGCGUUGUCCGGAUUUACUGGGCGUAAAGAGCGUGUAGGCGGCCUUACAGGUCAGCUGUGAAAACUCGAGGCUCAACCUCGAGACGUCGGUUGAAACCGUAAGGCUAGAGUCCGGAAGAGGAGAGUGGAAUUCCCGGUGUAGCGGUGAAAUGCGCAGAUAUCGGGAAGAACACCCGUGGCGAAGGCGGCUCUCUGGGACGGUACUGACGCUGAGACGCGAAAGCGUGGGGAGCGAACAGG